CGCGGAGUAGAGCAGCCUGGAAGCUCGCAAGGCUCAUAACCUUGAGGUCGUGGGUUCAAAUCCCACCUCCGCAC
rnacentral:tRNA from 1 species